rnacentral:rRNA from 1 species
ACGUAGGUGGCAAGCGUUGUCCGGAUUUAUUGGGUUUAAAGGGUGCGUAGGCGGUCCAUUAAGUCAGUUGUGAAAUACGGCAGCUUAACUGUCGAGGUGCAAUUGAUACUGGAGGACUUGAGUACAGACGAGGUAGGCGGAAUUGACGGUGUAGCGGUGAAAUGCAUAGAUAUCGUCAAGAACACCGAUAGCGAAGGCAGCUUACUAGACUGUAACUGACGCUGAGGCACGAAAGUGUGGGGAUCAAACAGGAUUAGAUACCCUGGUAGUCCACACUGUAAACGAUGAUUACUCGAUGUUGGCGAUACACAGCCAGCGUCUUAGCAAAAGCGAUAAGUAAUCCACCUGGGGAGUACGCCCGCAAGGGUG